rnacentral:rRNA from 1 species
AACGAACGCUGGCGGCAGGCUUAACACAUGCAAGUCGAGCGCCCCGCAAGGGGAGCGGCAGACGGGUGAGUAACGCGUGGGAACGUACCUUUUGGUUCGGAACAACUCCGGGAAACUGGAGCUAAUACCGGAUAAGCCCUAACGGGGAAAGAUUUAUCGCCGAACGAUCGGCCCGCGUCUGAUUAGCUAGUUGGUGAGGUAACGGCUCACCAAGGCGACGAUCAGUAGCUGGUCUGAGAGGAUGAUCAGCCACACUGGGACUGAGACACGGCCCAGACUCCUACGGGAGGCAGCAGUGGGGAAUAUUGGACAAUGGGCGCAAGCCUGAUCCAGCCAUGCCGCGUGAGUGAUGAAGGCCUUAGGGUUGUAAAGCUCUUUUGUCCGGGAAGAUAAGGACUGUACCGGAAGAAUAAGCCCCGGCUAACUUCGU